GAUCAAGCCGAUCAGCCUAUAUCUCGAAGAGGAGUAAAGAGACUGCUACUCCUUCCAGAUCGACUGCCCCUCAAUCAUCACCUAGGGCAAUCAUGAUAGAUGCAGAUGCUACUCUGAUCUCCGUUGCACCACCGGUGAAGUCAACCCGACAAUCUACUGAGGUGGCCCAUCCACCUCCAAAGGAGUUUGCACGCCCAAGGCAGGCUUCUUCUCCAGCACCUCCUUCGACAUC
rnacentral:lncRNA from 1 species